rnacentral:lncRNA from 1 species
CCCGGGGAAAGGCAGAUGAAUUCGUGGAGAGUGAGGUUUGAGAGGUGGCUCUGUGGUAUAUCCACAGGACUCAGAGUCAGGUCUGAGCAGUUUACUGCUGACCGAGCAGAGGGGAGCAUAAACCACGAGUGGAUGCAGCCGGGUCUGUGCAUGUGGGGCGCCCACCUACCUCAACCCCGACUCUGCACAGCUGCUGCUGCUGCUGCCGCCUUAAUAGCAGGAGAAGGAAUUGGAGAGGGAGGUGGGUGGUUCCGGAAGAUGAAGACUUUAGCAAAGCCCAGGAGUGUGCCCGGAACACAGAUUAGUCUUCCGGAUGUGCCUUUGAUCUUGUACGGGUGACUUAACAGGGAUUACUGUUUUGAGAAGCACACCCUGAAAUUCAGACUCCGGUUCUUAGAGAUUGUAGCCUGUGAUCCGCGUCUUUCUUUCUCCAUCC